GAUCUAUCUGCCCUAAAAUUUUCAGAUGAAACAGCAGUAAUGUUCAGAAAAGCAAGAUUUACAAAUAAGUCAACAUGACUGAAAUGAUCAAUUGACUCCCUAAGGAGUUAUUGUCCUUUAUAGUCAAUUUUUAACAAUUUUCAUAAAAUUUGUAAAUUUUUACUAACAUUUUCCACUGAAACUACUGGGCCAAGUUCAUUAUAGAUAGAUAUAAUUGUAAGCAGCAAGGAUGUUCAGUAAAGUAAGAUGUACAAACACAUCACCAUCACCAAAAC
rnacentral:lncRNA from 1 species